UUGAUUCAUUCUGUGCAGAUGGAAUGCCAGGCAUCAAUAAAAAACAUUUGUCAGUCAUUUGAAGAGUUUAAUCAUAACCACAUAUUCUCUUCUUAUGCAACACCAAAAAUGUAUUCUGUCCUUAUUGAUGCUUUUGAAGAAUAUAGGUAACUGCAUGUAGGUCACUGAUUUAUUGCACUGCUGUACUACGUAUGAAUUGCUGGGCAAGUUGCAGUCAAUUUUAUAGCCUAAGAAUCUCAUCUUAAGAGAUGUAUUUAAUUGGAGGAAAUCAAAAUGCUAAAAUUUAUGUUGGGAAAGGAUUUUUCCUCAAGUAUUACUGUCUUCAACUGUAUUUUGUUUAUGUGAUUUGUUUAAGAGUGCAUAAUUGCUUUCUUUGUGUCAUUGUUUUUUUCAGAAUUUACAGACAUAAACUAAACAUGUUGGGCUGUGUUAUUCCUGAGCUUGAUGAAGGAAAUAUCUGUCCUACUUGUCCCAAAACUGAUGGUAUGAUCUUUGAAUCUCUUGAUGCUCUAUUUAUUGGACAAAGGAAAAAGCUGGGCAGAGUCUUGGAAAACCUCUAUUUGGACAGCUGAUGUUCUAUGAUCAGACACAUGUUGAUCAAUUUGUUGCCAAUUAUACCACACCUACAUCAAACAAGGAGUGUCAUGGUUUUCUUGCUGGGAAUGCUGUUUGAUCAAUGAAUCGCUACAGAGCUCUUGAUGAAACAG